GUGGAAGACCGGAGAUCUGGAAGUUCUGAUAUUUGGCAGAGUUGUUAAUGAUUUUGGAGCAACAAGUCAAAAACGCAUUCUUUGGGCAACGGUUUUUGAAGUCAAAUUACAUCACCUUUAAAAUUUUUUUUUGCAAAACUAAUUAUGCAAUCUCAAAAAUCUAUAUAUUUUAUCGUUAUAAAUUGACACCAAAAAAACUUUUGUACAAAAUUGUGUUAAUUCUGUGAAUAUCUUUGAUUUUUUUAUAAAACUGCGAAAAUCUAAAAAGUAUCAAUUGACUUAAAAUUUGUCGCAAUAUCUACUUAACCUUCAACUGGAUGAUCUCCAAAAUUGAUAAUUAAAUCCAAAAGCUAACAAUAAGAACUUGUCCCUGUCAAAUAAAAUGCGCAUUUCUCUUCUUUUAUCCAACAAAAAAGCAAAAAAAAAAAAAAAAAACACUGAGAACGCCAAA